AAUCAACGCUGGCGGCGUGCCUAACACAUGCAAGUCGAACGCGAAAGCCCCGCAAGGGGUUAGUAGAGUGGCAAACGGGUGAGUAACACGUGGGUGACCUGCCCUCAGCUCUGGGAUAAGCCCGGGAAACUGGGUCUAAUACCGGAUAUGACUCCAUGACGCAUGUUGUGGGGUGGAAAGCCUUGUGCGGCUGAGGAUGGGCCCGCGGCCUAUCAGCUUGUUGGUGGGGUGANGGCCUACCAAGGCGACGACGGGUAGCCGGCCUGAGAGGGCGACCGGCCACACUGGGACUGAGACACGGCCCAGACUCCUACGGGAGGCAGCAGUGGGGAAUAUUGGACAAUGGGGGCAACCCUGAUCCAGCAAUGCCGCGUGUGUGAAGAAGGCCUGCGGGUUGUAAAGCAC
rnacentral:rRNA from 1 species